UACGUAGGUCGCAAGCGUUGUCCGGAUUUACUGGGCGUAAAGAGCGCGCAGGCGGCUGGUCAAGUCCGAUGUGAAAUCUCCCGGCUCAACUGGGAAACUGCAUCGGAAACUGAUCGGCUUGAAGAUGGGAGAGGGUAGUGGAAUUCCCGGUGUAGUGGUGAAAUGCGUAGAUAUCGGGAGGAACACCAGUGGCGAAGGCGGGUUGCUGGGCCGACACUGACGCUGAUGCGCGAAAGCUAGGGGAGCGAACGGG
rnacentral:rRNA from 1 species